rnacentral:rRNA from 1 species
GAUCAUGGCUCAGGAUGAACGCUGGCGGCGUGCCUAACACAUGCAAGUCGAGCGAAGCAAUCGAGAUGAAGUUUUCGGAUGGAUUCUUAAUUGACUGAGCGGGCGGACGGGUGAAGGUAACGCGUGGGUAACCUGCCUCAUACAGGGGGAUAACAGUUAGAAAUGACUGCUAAUACCGCAUAAGCGCACAGUACCACAUGAUGCGGUGUGAAAAACUCCGGUGGU